ensembl:lncRNA
GCUACUUUUCGUGGAGAUUAAGGCAACAAAGGAGCUCAACAGGUGUGGGUUGUUAUCAUUAGAAGGACAAGGGACCACACCUGUCAAACUCGAGGCUCUGAUGCAACCCAGGAGAAACUGAACUUCUCCAGGGAGAAAGUUCACGGAAUGGAAAAACGUUUGGAGAAGAGUGAACACUCUCCCCUUUGCCGGAAGAGAGUCUGAGAAGCGGUCUCAGACCUCAUCUGCAGGGAGGCAGCUCAGGAAGGUGCGCAGUGGCACGGCGAGUGCAGGCAGGGGAGGCAAGGUGAACGCGGGUGCCUACAAGGGACACUGUCUCUUCAUCUCCCAUGAUUCUACAUAAUCCUUUAAAUAAACACAACAUGUUUCCAUGGAAGAUAAAAACAAAAGCACGUAGGAAAGAGGAAAAAAAUAGGGAGAGAGAGGAAAGAAAGAAGGAAGGAAGUUCAAGCAAGAAAGGAAGAAAAACUUCCCUGAAGAUUCUACCUGCCAAGACAUGGAAGAAAUUGGUGUCUUUAAAUAGUGAUGAUAUUUG